GCUUGCUUCAGCAGCAUGUAUCUAAAAGUGGAAUGACACAGAGAAAAUUAGCAUGACCCCUGCGCAAGGAUGACACGCAAAUUUGUGAAGUGUUCCAUAUUAAA